rnacentral:rRNA from 1 species
GAUGAACGCUGGCGGCGUGCCUAAUACAUGCAAGUCGAGCGAACGGACGAGAAGUUUGUUUCUUUGAUGUUAGCGGCGCACGGGUGUGUAACAUGUGGAUAACCUCCCUAUAAGUCUGGUAUAACUUCGGGAAACCGGAGCUAAUACCGGAUAAUAUUUUGAACCGCAUGGUUCAUAAGUGAAAGACGGUCUUUCUGUCACUUCUAGCUGGAUCCGCGCUGCAUUAGCUAGUUGGUAAGGUAACGGCUUACCAAGGCAACGAUGCAUAACCGACCUGAGAGGGUGAUCGGCCACACUGGAACUGAGACACGGUCCAGACGCCUACGGGAGGCAGCAGUAGGCAAUCUUCGGCAAUGGUCGAAAGCCUGGCGGAGCGGCGCCGAGUCAGUGAUGAAGGUCUUCGGAGCGUAAUACUCUGUUAUUAGGGAAAAACAUAUGUGUAAGUAACUGUACACAUCUUGACGGUACCUAAUCAGAAAGCCACGGCUAACUACGUG